AUUGAACGCUGGCGGCGGGCCUAACACAUGCAAGUCGAGCGGGGUUUUCGGACCUAGCGGCGGACGGGUGAGUAAUGCGUAGGAAGCUGCCCGAUAGAGGGGGAUACCAGUUGGAAACGACUGUUAAUACCGCAUAAUGUCUACGGACCAAAGUGUGGGACCUUCGGGCCACAUGCUAUCGGAUGCGCCUACGUGGGAUUAGCUAGUUGGUGAGGUAAUGGCUCACCAAGGCGACGAUCUCUAGCUGGUUUGAGAGGAUGAUCAGCCACACUGGAACUGAGACACGGUCCAGACUACUACAGGAGGCAGCAGUGGGGAAUAUUGGACAAUGGGCGCAAGCCUGAUCCAGCCAUGCCGCGUGUGUGAAGAAGGCCUUCGGGUUGUAAAGCACUUUCAGCGAGGAGGAAGGGUGGUGUGUUAAUAGCACAUCAUUUUGACGUUACUCGCAGAAGAAGCACCGGCUAACUCUGUGCCAGCCGCCGCCGUAAUAC
rnacentral:rRNA from 1 species